rnacentral:rRNA from 1 species
UACAGAGGUCUCAACCGUUGUUCGGAUUCAUUGGGCGUAAAGGGUGCGUAGGCGGUCGCGCAAGUCGGAUGCGAAAUCUCAGGGCUCAACCCUGAAACUGCAUUCGAUACUACGUGGCUAGAGUGCUGGAGGGGAGACUGGAAUUUACGGUGUAGCAGUGAAAUGCGUAGAUAUCGUAAGGAAGACCAGUGGCGAAGGCGAGUCUCUGGACAGCAACUGACGCUGAGGCACGAAGGCCAGGGGAGCAAACGGG